AUUGAACGCUGGCGGCAGGCCUAACACAUGCAAGUCGAGCGAGCGGCGGACGGGUGAGUAAUGUCUGGGAAACUGCCUGAUGGAGGGGGAUAACUGCUGGAAACGGUAGCUAAUACCGCAUACCAUCAGAUGUGCCCAGAUGGGAUUAGCUAGUCGGUGGGGUAACGGCUACCCUAGGCGAAGAUCCCUAGCUGGUCUGAGAGGAUGACCAACCACACUGGAACUGAGAACCGGCCCAGACGCCUACGGGAGGCAGCAGUGGGGAAUAUUGCACAAUGGGCGAAAGCCUGAUCCAGCCAUGCCGCGUGUGUGAAGAAGGCCUUCGGGUGGGAAAGCACUUUCAGCGGGGAGGCGUUACCCGCAGAAGAAGCACCGGCUAACUCCGUGCCAGCAGCCGCGGUAAUAC
rnacentral:rRNA from 1 species